rnacentral:rRNA from 1 species
UACGCGGGGGAUCAAGUGUUUUACAUCAUGACUGGCGCAUAAAAAACUAACAAGACGGUUAAAGUUAUAACUACUAUAAAAACUUUCGCAUAAACGAUCAAGCUCGCACGAGUAGAGACUUUGAACUAGAGUAUACUAGAGGGUGAUGGAAUUCUCAAAGUAGAAAUUGAAAUACCGUGAAUAUUGAAGGAGGCCUCGCAAUGGUGGAAGACAAGAUCCUUUUAGAUUAACUGAACGUUUAGAUGUGAAAGUGUAGGGAGCAAACAGG